rnacentral:rRNA from 1 species
GACGAACGCUGGCGGCGUGCUAAACACAUGCAAGUCGAACGGAAAGGCCCUGCUUUUGUGGGGUGCUCGAGUGGCGAACGGGUGAGUAACACGUGAGUAACCUGCCCUUGACUUUGGGAUAACUUCAGGAAACUGGGGCUAAUACCGGAUAGGAGCUCCUGCUGCAUGGUGGGGGUUGGAAAGUUUCGGCGGUUGGGGAUGGACUCGCGGCUUAUCAGCUUGUUGGUGGGGUAGUGGCUUACCAAGGCUUUGACGGGUAGCCGGCCUGAGAGGGUGACCGGCCACAUUGGGACUGAGAGACGGCCCAGACUCCUACGGGAGGCAGCAGUGGGGAAUAUUGCACAAUGGGCGGAAGCCUGAUGCAGCAACGCCGCGUGCGGGAUGACGGCCUUCGGGUUGUAAACCGCUUUCGCCUGUGACGAAGCGUGAGUGACGGUAAUGGGUAAAGAAGCACCGGCUAACUACGUG